GACCAAUCACGAUACCGAUUGCCAAGUAGACAAACAGGAAGUCAGGCCGCUAGCUAAUCAUGGGAUAACUUGUUCUUGAAAGGCAUCUCCAAUUCCGACGCUUAUUUUGUUGACAGUAACGUUAGUUUGUAAGUGAAACAUACAAGAUGACAGAUAUGUAAAUAAAGGUUGAUAUGGCAAUAAGGAAACGACCUCCAGACUCCAGACAGUUGGACAAGCCCAGUAGUCAUGAACCCCAGUUCUCCCUGUGAGGGCCAGAGCCCUGAGGGUGACCCUCCAGAUGAUUGGUUCCACCUUUCCACCAUGUCUCUGGGAACUCAGGGCUCUGAUGGGAGCCGGGAUGACCCAGAGGAACCUGAGGAGAGAGGCAGACUCAAGUCCAAGUUUGUGUCGGCAUGGAACAAUGUCAAAUAUGGCUGGUCGUUCAAGUCAAAGGCCCACUUCAGCAAGACCUCUCCUCUGACCAUGCUUGGACAGUCUUAUCUGCUCAGUCAUGGAGUGGAGAGGGAGUGCUUUCGCCAGGCCUUUGCCACUCUACUGUGGCUGACGUACAGGCGGGGCUUCCCACAGCUGGAUGGUUCCUCUCUGACCACAGACAGUGGGUGGGGCUGCAUGCUGCGCAGUGGACAGAUGCUGCUGGCACAGGGGCUGCUGCUACACCUGCUGCCGCCAGGCUGGACCUGGCUCUAUGCCAACCAUGUGUCUAAAGAUGACAUGGAGGUACAGGAGUCUCGCUCCUUGGGUCCAGAGGUGACUAAGAAGGGAAGGAGGAAGAGCAUAGUGUCCUUCCUGGAGAGCCGGACUGAAGUCACUCACAGACGGGUGGUGUCCUGGUUUGGGGACCAUCCCAUCGCUCCGUUCGGGCUGCACCAGCUGGUGGAACAGGGCACAAGCGCAGGGAAGAAGGCAGGGGACUGGUAUGGCCCCUCCAUCGUAGCACACAUUCUUCGUAAGGCUGUUGACGCAGCAUCAGCAGAGGUGUCCAAUCUGACAGUGUAUGUAGCACAGGACUGCACUGUGUACAUAGAUGAUGUGGUGAGGCUGUGUGAGAGACCUCUAUCUGAGGGCUCCACAGGACCCAGCCCAGCCUGGAAGUCUGUCAUCAUCCUGGUCCCUGUGCGCCUGGGAGGAGAAGUCCUCAACCCCACCUACAUCAAAUGUGUCAAAAAUCUCCUGAGGUUAGAAUGCUGCAUUGGAAUCAUUGGUGGCAAACCCAAGCACUCUCUGUUCUUUGUUGGGUACCAAGACGAACAGCUGCUGUACUUGGACCCCCACUACAGCCAGUCCACAGUAGAUAUCACACAGGAUAACUUCCCCUUAGAGUCGUUUCACUGUAAGUGUCCCAGGAAGAUCUCCUUCAGUCGCAUGGAUCCCAGCUGCACUAUAGGCUUCUAUGCCAAGAGCCAGAAGGAAUUUGAGUUACUGUGUUCAACUGUUAGCACGAUGUGGCUCAGAUGAAGGAACAUUCCUCCAUUCCACUUGGCAGUGUUCAAAACUACACGGUUUCUGGCAGGGGGUAUGCGAUACCAUAUCCUCAAUUCACGGGGUUGCAUUCCCUUUAGACCCGGAGGUCUGUCUACUGGGCUCUCUCAUCAUCAACAGAAAAGUACCCCAUCUUCACCAUUGCAGAGGGUCAGGGACAGGAGGAUGAGAGUGAUGCACCCCCAAACUCUAUCACCCACAUCCUGACCAAGGACAAGGCGAGGCUGCGAAGGACCAAUAACAGCAACAGCAUGGAUGAGUUUGUGUUAUUGUGAAUUAACGUAGCAGGUAUAAAAGUUCUAAGCUAGGUUGAAUUAGCUGUAUCCCUGAAAACCGGAACAUCCGGUUGUUGGCAACUCUGCUAAGGAUGCUGUGAACAGACUGACAAUGUCAGGGAACAUAAUUCACAUACCAACUCAUACACACAGUUACUGAACAGAGCUUUAUCAGUAGCAGCUACUGACAGGGCACAUGCUCCAGCAUUCGCCUUUAUCCCCAACCUCCAGGCUGGGUGAGGUGUUGCUGAAUAGAACAGGCCUUAAUGACACUAUUCUUGUGUAUUUAUUAGUUUGGGCUAAUUAUUUGAUUUAAGGGGAUGUGUUUUUAUGAAUGUAACAAUAUUUUUUAAAUGAAGGUUUUUGUAUAAUUGUUUUUAAUUGUAAGGUUUUGAUAUCAGUAUGGUUUUGAGGUUCUUACGUUAAAUAACCUGCCUUCAACUUCAUUGUUUAUUAUUCUACAUGAAGUCAUGGGUGACUCUAUGCCUGGCUGAAAGACACUAACUGACCCUAUUUCAUCAUUGUGUAGAUAGGCUGCUCAUCCCAUAGUCCUCUCCACUACAACCUUUUGUUGAACUACUUUGUAUUGAGUCUAAUGCUGGACAAUCUGGGCUCUGAGCUGCUGUUUGACAUCAUGUGACAGGAUGUCUGCUCUGUGAAUGGAUUAGGAAAUUGGAUUCCUUAGACCUUGUGACGUGCACAUGGAACCGGUGAAGGAAUCAAUUUGUCUUCUUAGAGAUGUGUUGGUUUUAUGUGGUUGAGUGGGGAGAGUAUAAAAUAAUAAUUUCAAUGAAGAGGCACAUUCUGAGCAAUAUGGGGUUGCAUUUGCCCUGUUUUCGGAAUGAAUAUUUUUUACAUGGAAAAUGAGUGGCACAAUGCACUCAAUAAAAGUUCAGUAACUCAGUCAACUUCAUCAGACUGAUUUUAGUUUAGGCCAUACAAAUUUGAAUUACAUGUUUAACGGAUACCCUGCAGUGCUUCUACAAUGUUUGUUAUUUGGGGUUUUAGGCAGGGUUAAUGGAAGGUGCUCUCUUUCUAUUUUGGCUGUCUGUGUUGUUUGCAAACCUUAUACAUUAUUCUAUAUCCACGACACUAGCCCAGGUCUUAGACCAAGAUUGUAUCUCGGUCUAGCAGUGUAACACUAAGCCACUUAUUUAGCCACUUAUUACAUGUUUAACAGAUACCCUGCAGUGCUUCUACAUUGUUUGUUAUUUGGUGUUUUAGGCAGGGUUUCUGUAUAGCACUUUGUGACCUGCUGAUGUAAAAAGGGCUUGAUAAAUACAUUUGUUUGA